UACGUAGGGUGCGAGCGUUAAUCGGAAUUACUGGGCGUAAAGCGUGCGCAGGCGGUUUGAUAAGCCAGAUGUGAAAUCCCCGAGCUCAACUUGGGAACUGCGUUUGGAACUGUCAGACUAGAGUGCGUCAGAGGGGGGUGGAAUUCCGCGUGUAGCAGUGAAAUGCGUAGAGAUGCGGAGGAACACCGAUGGCCAAGGCAGCCCCCUGGGAUGACACUGACGCUCAUGCACGAAAGCGUGGGGAUCAAACAGG
rnacentral:rRNA from 1 species